rnacentral:rRNA from 1 species
GAUGAACGCUGGCGGCGUGCCUAACACAUGCAAGUCGAACGGAGUCCAGCCUUAGAGACCUUCGGGUCAAAGAGGGGAAGACUGAGUGGCGGACGGGUGAGUAACACGUGGGCAACCUGGCUCAUAGAGGGGGAUAACAGAGAGAAAUUUCUGCUAAUACCGCAUAAGCACACACUGCCGCAUGGCAGAGUGUGAAAAGAGAAUCGCUAUGAGAUGGACCCGCGUCUGAUUAGCCAGUUGGCAGGGUAAGAGCCUACCAAAGCGACGAUCAGUAGCCGAUUGGGGAGGAUGAACGGCCACAUUGGGACUGAGACACGGCCCAAACUCCUACGGGAGGCAGCAGUGGGGGAUAUUGCACAAUGGGGGGAACCCUGAUGCAGCGACGCCGCGUGAGUGAAGAAGUAUUUCGGUAUGUAAAGCUCUAUCAGCAGGGAAGAUAAUGACAGUACCUGAAGAAGAAGCCCCGGCUAACUACGUG